UAUAUCACUCGUCUUCUACACAAGUAGCAUAUGAAGCUUUGUUAGCCUAGAUAAAUCAGACAAGAACAAAAGGAGGGUGUGAAAGAACUAAAGAAUGGGAGACAUCAGGAACGAAGUGAACAUCACUUGGUGGAACAAGUAGCAUGCCGUCUUCUCUUAGUCAUCAUGUUGUUCUUUGGUUGGUACGUUCUUGAAUUGAGGGUCUGCGCUACCUUGAAUGGGUGGAUUUUUGUCCAUCCUCGGUUGAUCUGUUGUUGUCAUGCCUAGCGCGCACAUUGACACAAAGUCGAGCAUUUUCUUGAAAUUGUCGCCUCUAUUUUGUUCACCUCGAUCGUCACCUCUUCAUCCAAGUCAGAGUUGUCUAGUCCCUUGCGCAGGCGGCCGACUGUUUGGUAUGGCCGAACAUGGCUUUCAGCAAGGGCUUAGUUGGCGAUUGGGUAUGAUGAAGUCUGAGUGUUGGCUCGUGGAGGGAUGAUGACACAUGUAUUAUUUAGUCAUAGAACAUAAUGAAAGGUAUGUAAAGAAAAACGCUACACUGCUGAAGAAUUCUUGGAACAUUAAGAAAUAAGCUUCAACGUGAGUGAACAGUAUGUUGUAUACAUAUUAUUAUUUUUAAAGCUUUGCCUCAUCACAUUAGUUAAGGAAG
rnacentral:lncRNA from 1 species